rnacentral:piRNA from 1 species
AUGCCAAAGAAUGAAUAGAUGUGUGUCCUC